CUUGCACCGGGUGGAUGAGUGGCGAACGGGUGAGUAACACGUGAGUAACCUGCCCCUGACUUCGGGAUAAGCCCGGGAAACUGGGUCUAAUACCGGAUACGACUGCCGGACGCAUGUCUGGUGGUGGAAAGUUUUUUCGGUUGGGGAUGGGCUCGCGGCCUAUCAGUUUGUUGGUGAGGUAAUGGCUCACCAAGACGACGACGGGUAGCCGGCCUGAGAGGGCGACCGGCCACACUGGGACUGAGACACGGCCCAGACUCCUACGGGAGGCAGCAGUGGGGAAUAUUGCACAAUGGGGGAAACCCUGAUGCAGCGACGCAGCGUGCGGGAUGACGGCCUUCGGGUUGUAAACCGCUUUCAGCAGGGAAGAAGCGCAAGUGACGGUACCUGCAGAAGAAGUACCGGCUAACUACGUGCCAGCAGCCGCGGUAAUACGUAGGGUACGAGCGUUGUCCGGAAUUAUUGGGCGUAAAGAGCUCGUAGGUGGUUGGUCACGUCUGCUGUGGAAACGCAACGCUUAACGUUGCGCGUGCAGUGGGUACGGGCUGACUAGAGUGCAGUAGGGGAGUCUGGAAUUCCUGGUGUAGCGGUGAAAUGCGCAGAUAUCAGGAGGAACACCGGUGGCGAAGGCGGGACUCUGGGCUGUAACUGACACUGAGGAGCGAAAGCAUGGGGAGCGAACAGGAUUAGAUACCCUGGUAGUCCAUGCCGUAAACGUUGGGCACUAGGUGUGGGGGGCAUUCCACGUUCUCCGCGCCGUAGCUAACGCAUUAAGUGCCCCGCCUGGGGAGUACGGUCGCAAGGCUAAAACUCAAAGGAAUUGACGGGGGCCCGCACAAGCGGCGGAGCAUGCGGAUUAAUUCGAUGCAACGCGAAGAACCUUACCAAGGCUUGACAUACACCGGACCGUCCUGGAAACAGGUCCUCUUCUUUGAAG
rnacentral:rRNA from 1 species